rnacentral:rRNA from 1 species
CGCCUUGCCAGCCCGCUCAGAAACUUAAAGGAAUUGACGGGGGCCCGCACAAGCGGAGGAACAUGUGGUUUAAUUCGAUGAUACGCGAGGAACCUUACCUGGGCUAGAACGCAAUCGGAAUCAGGCCGAAAGGUCUGCGCCAGCGAUGGCCGGUUGCGAGGUGCUGCAUGGUUGUCGUCAGCUCGUGCCGUGAGGUGUCGGGUUAAGUCCCAUAACGAGCGCAACCCCUACUGCUAGUUGCCAGCGGGUCAUGCCGGGGACUCUAGCGGAACUGCCAGCGUAAGCUGCGAGGAAGGUGGGGAUGACGUCAAAUCAGCACGGCCCUUACGUCCAGGGCUACACACGUGUUACAAUGGCCAGUACAGAGGGCAGCCACCCCGCGAGGGGGCGCUAAUCCUAAAAGCUGGUCCCAGUUCGGAUCGGAGUCUGCAACCCGACUCCGUGAAGCUGGAUUCGCUAGUAAUCGCGCAUCAGCCACGGCGCGGUGAAUACGUUCCCGGGCCUU